CUGAAUGAUACAUAUAUUAUUUUUCUUACUUAGCAUUGUUAUUAUUUUUCCCCUAUUAUUCAUUCAUUAUUGCUGUUCCCAAUUGUUAGUCCCCGGCCAGGAACUUCUGAUAUGCUUUUCUUCAGUUCGUCUGCCUCACCUUUUGGGUCCAGAAGGUAAGCUGUCCGUUGCUGCGUACGAAUAAAGGAGUGAAGCUGCUGUGAGUAGUCGGUUUCUGGUUAGAAGACAAAA